CCUGGCGGCUUUAGCGCGGUGGUCCCACCUGACCCCAUGCCGAACUCAGAAGUGAAACGCCGUAGCGCCGAUGGUAGUGUGGGGCUUCCCCAUGUGAGAGUAGGACACUGCCAGGC
rfam:Trabulsiella guamensis ATCC 49490 GTGT.assembly.057, whole genome shotgun sequence.